rnacentral:rRNA from 1 species
UACGUAGGGUGCGAGCGUUAAUCGGAAUUACUGGGCGUAAAGCGUGCGCAGGCGGUCUGUUAAGACCGAUGUGAAAUCCCCGGGCUUAACCUGGGAACUGCAUUGGUGACUGGCAGGCUUUGAGUGUGGCAGAGGGAGGUAGAAUUCCACGUGUAGCAGUGAAAUGCGUAGAUAUCUGGAGGAACACCGGUGGCGAAGGCGGCAUCCUGGACCAAUUCUGACGCUGAGGAGCGAAAGCCAGGGGAGCAAACGGG